rnacentral:rRNA from 1 species
UACAGAGGGUGCAAGCGUUGUUCGGAAUUACUGGGCGUAAAGAGUGCGUAGGCGGUCCUGUAAGUUUGGUGUGAAAUCUCCCGGCUCAACUGGGAGGGUGCGCCGAAGACUGCAGGGCUUGAGUAUGGGAGAGGUAAGCGGAAUUCCUGGUGUAGCGGUGAAAUGCGUAGAUAUCAGGAGGAACACCGGUGGCGAAGGCGGGACUCUGGGCCGAUACUGACGCUGAGGAGCGAAAGCGUGGGGAGCGAACAGG